GUUGCAUUUGGCAUAGUUUAGCAGGCAACUCAAGACGUUAAAGAAGAAGAAGAAGGGAGGUCAUACAUGACGAAAAAAAGUCUUAAUUUGAUAGCCAAGGAUGACUUGCUUACACCCUUGGCAGAAUAUCUCCUUUUUUUGGUUUGUAAGCAAGCUCCAUGGCUAGCUGAUGGGCUCUUAUCGUUCAUGUUGCAUCUUCUCUUCUUACAUUUAAGCUGACAUGAGCUUCUCAGAGUCCUACCUCUGCACCCUCAGGCCUGACCUAAGGGAAAGUAUGCUGCAAUUGUUGUAAUGCAUGUCGUUCCAUUAUAAAUUUGAUACUCAUGUUGCCUCUCAUCCUCCACUAAAUUCUAUUGAACCUACAAGAAGUGGUGGGGCUAUUCUACCCCGCGGCCACUCUGGUGUGAGAAUUAGUAUUGGAAGAAUAAAAAAUUCACAACCCUAGGCACCAUUAAUUUUUAUUAUUAUAUAUUUUUGAGGUUCAUAGCAUUGUCGAGCCCCUUAGGGCCAUACCUGUGCUUUGUGGGACCUAAGAUGAACAUUAGAAUUUGAACUCUUAAAUCGUAGCAAGCAAUUAUUAUUAUUAUUUUUAUUUUUUAUUUUUUUUUCAUUUAUGAGAGUUUAAUGGAACUAAAUUUAUUAACUUAAAAUCCAACAUAAAACAACAUAUGAAAUAAAAUAUUUAUAUUACAAUCAAAUAGCAAUGCGAAAAUAAUCUCAACGAUCACUUAAAUACUACUUGUCUUACGAUUUUAGAGGCAAAAAUAUCAAUCAAUUUUAAAUAGUUGAGUUGUUCAACCAUUUCUUUUUCAAGGAUAACAUGGCCAAUCCAUCCAAUUGAUGUCCAAUUGUAUGCUUUCAUCAAUUGUAUAUUUUGUUUGAGG
rnacentral:lncRNA from 1 species